rnacentral:lncRNA from 1 species
CUUCCACCUUCCACCACGACCACCAGCGCCUCUCGCUCUAGUCACUCGCCUCCCGGGAUCCAAAUUAAAAUAUUUCUGUAAGGUAAGGACUCUUCAAAUUAAUACCCGCCCCUGUUCUGAACUGAUUUAUUUGUUUCUCUUUCUGUAAGUGUACUAUUUGAAGAAUUCAUACAUCGACAUGAUGCUUAAGCUGGCAAGAAACACAGGCUCUGGAAUUAAUCUUUUGGGUUCGAAAAGAAUCCCUUUCGACAUAUUCCAAAUAGGUAUUCAAGAACUGAAUUUGAGAACAAAUUGGUGCUUGAGAUUUACAAAAAUAUGGUGGCUUCUUAUGAAUUGAGUUCUAACAGAUAAGCAUGAAAUGAUUAUCAGGUUUUCUUUUCUUUUUCCCCCCUUUGUUGUUGUUUAUGCAUGUUUAGAUUUGAGAAACUCACGCUAUCUUCAACUAGUUUUUAAAUACUUAUUUAAAUAGUAUUUAGUUGGGGGGGUUUCGGGUUUACAGAAUAGAAGUAUGGUACAUCAGUUCAGAUACUGGGCUCAUCAAGCCUUAAUAAAAUUAUUAAUGAUUUCAAGAACGAUGGAAAAGGAAUGGAAAUCAAACAAAUAAUUGACAAGUACAGAGAAUUGAGUGAAAAAACCAUUUAUUACUAUCAGUGAUUUGUUGCAAUACAUUUUUGCUAAUCCUAGUGGAUAUUAGUUGAAAACAGAGGACAGUCCGAUGAGUUACAGAACGUUUGUGAAUUUAUUGGCAAAAUGUGAUUGCAGAUGGGCUUCUAGGAGACUUGAGCAUGUGCUAGUCGUAAUUAUAAAGCUCUUGAAUGAGCAAAAAGCUAAUAACCUUAAUAGAAAAUGUGGUAUGUCCAGGCAUGAGCUAAGGGAAGAGGCAAGAAAAUCUAUUGGGGACACAGGUUUAAUUGAUUUUGUACUCAAAUCUAUCAAAUCUUUUGUAGUGAAUAAUCAAAUUAUUCGAUGAACAAUAAAUCCAC